GUGUCAGCAGCCGCGGUAAGACAGAGGGUGCAAACGUUGUUCGGAAUUACUGGGCGUAAAGCGCGUGUAGGCGGCCCUGCAAGUCGGGUGUGAAAUCCCAUGGCUCAACCAUGGAAGUGCACUCGAAACUGCAGGGCUAGAGUCCUGGAGAGGAAGGUGGAAUGCUUGGUGUAGAGGUGAAAUUCGUAGAUAUCAAGCGGAACACCGGUGGCGAAGGCGGCCUUCUGGACAGUGACUGACGCUGAGACGCGAAAGCGUGGGGAGCAAACAGGAUUAGAAACCCCCGUAGUCC
rnacentral:rRNA from 1 species